CGUGCGUGCCGGGACGGGGGUGAUUUUGUGCGUGGUGAGAAUGAUAUUCUGAGUUUCCGGCUGACAUUUGAGCAUGAGUAAUGUGGGACACGACUGUAAUAAAAGCUCAAGGACAUUCAUAUCUUCUUCAGCACUGACUGCUGUUGAAUUCAAGACUGAAAUCUUUCUGGACAUCUGUCAUGAAUGUGUCCACGAGAAUCAUCAGAAGAACCGUGUUCCUCUCGUGAAGUCCAGACUAAAGCACAUUGGCCACCUCUGUUCAUGUAAGAAGUGUAUAAUGCUGGAUGAUGUAGAGUCACAUCCUGAAGAUAUAAAGCACUGAACAGCCAUCUGUCUCCUGUCUCACUUCUUGCUGGAGCUCCGUAGUGGACAAGCUGCAGAGAACAGAUUCCUUCUACAACAACACAACCAUAUUUACAGUCCAUCCAGUCAGACUCUUUAGAUAUGAUCGAGUAGGAUAUUUCACAACGAGAAUAACUCCAUAGCGCCAUCUAGCGUCCGAGGUGCACGCGACCGAUAGAUAGAUAGAUAGAUAGAUAGAUAGAUAGAUAGAUAGAUAGAUAGAUAGAUAGAUAGAUAGAUAGAUAGAUAGAUAGAUAGAUGAAAAAGUGUGUGAAAAAGCACUGCUGCCAUAUUUCCUCAUAUUAUAUUAUUUCCUGGAAAAUAAUAACAAAUAAUUUAGUGAAACACAUAAAUAUAUCAGUCACGACUGAACAGUGUGUUUUGUCACUUUACAUUAAAUAAUUCAACAUUUA